rnacentral:rRNA from 1 species
ACGGAAGGCAGCAGUGGGGGAUAUUGCACAAUGGGGGAAACCCUGAUGCAGCGACGCCGCGAGUGAAGAAGUAUUUCGGUAUGUAAAGCUCUAUCAGCAGGAAAGAUAAUGACGGUACCUGACUAAGAAGCACCGGCUAAAUACGUGCCAGCAGCCGCGGUAAUACGUAUGGUGCAAGCGUUAUCCGGAUUUACUGGGUGUAAAGGGAGCGCAGACGGCAUGGCAAGCCAGAUGUGAAAGGCAGGGGCUCAACCCCUGGACUGCAUUUGGAACUGUCAAGCUAGAGUAUCGGAGAGGUAGGUGGAAUUCCUAGUGUAGCGGUGAAAUGCGUAGAUAUUAGGAGGAACACCAGUGGCGAAGGCGGCUUACUGGACGAUAACUGACGUUGAGGCUCGAAAGCGUGGGGAGCAAACAGAAUUAGAUACCCUGGUA